AGUCCCUUGGACCGCAAGGAGAUCCAACCAGUCCAUUCUGAAGGAGAUCAGCCCUGGGAUUUCUUUGGAGGGAAUGAUGCUAAAGCUGAAACACCAGUACUUUGGCCACCUCACGUGAAGAGUUGACUCAUUGGAAAAGACUGAUGCUGGGAGGGAUUGGGGGCAGGAGGAGAAGGGGACGACAGAGGAUGAGAUGGCUGGAUGGCAUCACUGAUUCGAUGGAUGUGAGUCUGAGUGAACUCUGGGAGUUGGUGAUGGACAGGGAGGCCUGGCGUGCUGCGAUUCAUGGGGUCGCAAAGAGUCGGACAUGACUGAGUGACUAAACUGAACUGAACUACUGUAUAUAAAGCAGAUAACCAAUGAGGACUACCCCUACCCCCGUAUAGCACAGGGAACUAUAUUCAAUAAUAUACAUACACACACACACACACAUAUGUAUGCAUGCAUGCUCAUGCUCAGUCACUUCAGUUGUGUCCGACUCUUUGUGACCCCGUGAACAGUAGCCGCCAGGCUCCUCUCUCCAUGGGAUUUCCCAGGCAAGAAUACUGAAGUUGGUUGCCAUUUCUUCCUCCAGGGGAUCUUCCCGACCUAAGGACUGAAAUUGCAAAUCCUGCAUUGCAGGCAGAUUCUUUACCACCUGAGCCAGCAGGGAAGCCCACAUAUAUAUGUAUACACAUGUUGUUGCUGUUCAGUUGCUCAGUCAUGUCUGACUCUUUGUGACCCCGUGGACUUCAGCACGCCAGGCUUCCCGGUCCUUCAGUGUCUCCUGCAGUUUGCGCAACGUCCACUGAAUCGAUGAUGACAUCCAACCAUCUCAUCCUCUGUCGCCACCUCUCCUCCUUGCACAAAACCAUCGUGGGAAGGCCUGGGGGAAGAAAUGACACCUAACUCAUGGUCAUGGUCAUUCUCCACCUUGGUGAAGCAUCAACUGGGACAUUUAAACCUCUGAACCUCAGUUUCCUUUCUGUAGAGAUGCAUCAGAAUGUCUCAGUGGAGGAUGCCCAUUGGAACCACACUGGUCUUUCCACGGGCACAGAGUACGCUGGCCGUGUUUGUACAGCUCUGCAGAGAGAUAGUCGUGGAAGCCUGCUGUAUAGAAACUGACCCUGUGACGGUGAACCGGAGCCCAGGGGGUGGCCAGCUACUUCCUCCCCUUUGAGAGUUUCUGGCAUUUGGCAGAUUUUCUCUUAAACUCCUUUCCCCAGCGUGGCCUGGUUCCUUUGUUGCCUUAUUUGGAGUGCAUACCAGCUAUUGUGGAGUAAUAAUACAGGAGGAGAAAUCAAUUCCCUCCUGGGCCCUUUAUGGAGCCUUCAAGCUCACUGGGGGCGGGCCCUGCACUUUUCAGACUCAGGUAUGUUUUUUGGCACGUUAAGGACUG
rnacentral:lncRNA from 1 species